GACGAACGCUGGCGGCGUGCUUAACACAUGCAAGUCGAACGGUAAGGCUCCAGCUUGCUGGGGUACACGAGUGGCGAACGGGUGAGUAACACGUGGGUGACCUGCCCUGCACUUCGGGAUAAGCCUGGGAAACUGGGUCUAAUACCGGAUAGGACCGCACCGUGAGGGUGUGGUGGAAAGUUUUUUCGGUGUGGGAUGGGCCCGCGGCCUAUCAGCCUGUUGGUGGGGUAAUGGCCUACCAAGGCGGCGACGGGUAGCCGGCCUGAGAGGGUGGACGGCCACAUUGGGACUGAGACACGGCCCAGACUCCUACGGGAGGCAGCAGUGGGGAAUAUUGCACAAUGGGCGGAAGCCUGAUGCAGCGACGCCGCGUGGGGGAUGACAGCCUUCGGGUUGUAAACUCCUUUCACCAUCGACGAAGGGUUUCUGAACGGUAGAUGGAGAAGAAGCACCGGCUAACUACGUGCCAGCAGCCGCGGUAAUACGUAGGGUGCGAGCGUUGUCCGGAAUUACUGGGCGUAAAGAGCUCGUAAGUGGUUCGUCGCGUCCUCUGUGAAAAUCCCGGGGGUUUAACUCCGGGCGUGCAGGCGAUACGGGCAUAACUUGAGUACUGUAAGGGAGACUGGAAUUCCUGGUGUAGCGGUGAAAUGCGCAGAUAUCAGGAGGAACACCGGUGGCGAAUGCGGGUCUCUGGGCAGUAACUGACGCUGAGGAGCGAAAGCAUGGGGAGCGAACAGGAUUAGAUACCCUGGUAGUCCAUGCCGUAAACGGUGGGCGCUAGGUGUGGGUUUCCUUCCACGGGAUCCGUGCCGUAGCUAACGCAUUAAGCGCCCCGCCUGGGGAGUACGGCCGCAAGGCUAAAACUCAAAGGAAUUGACGGGGGCCCGCACAAGCGGCGGAGCAUGUGGAUUAAUUCGAUGCAACGCGAAGAACCUUACCUGGGCUUGACAUAUACAGGAUCGCGCCAGAGAUGGUGUUUCCCUUGUGGCUUGUAUACAGGUGGUGCAUGGUUGUCGUCAGCUCGUGUCGUGAGAUGUUGGGUUAAGUCCCGCAACGAGCGCAACCCUUGUCUUAUGUUGCCAGCACGUUGUGGUGGGGACUCGUAAGAAACUGCCGGGGUUAACUCGGAGGAAGGUGGGGAUGACGUCAAAUCAUCAUGCCCCUUAUGUCCAGGGCUUCACACAUGCUACAAUGGUCGGUACAGUGGGUUGCCAGUCCGUGAGGGCGAGCUAAUCCCGCAAAGCCGGUCUCAGUUCGGAUCGGGGUCUGCAACUCGACCCCGUGAAGUCGGAGUCGCUAGUAAUCGCAGAUCAGCAACGCUGCGGUGAAUACGUUCCCGGGCCU
rnacentral:rRNA from 1 species